CCUGUGCCCAGCCCAGCAUCCCGGGGAGCUCCCUCCACAUGCUCAUCUCACGAGGUUCCUGCUGCACUCAGAGUGGAGGAUGGGAGGCCUGGGGCGGAGGGCCGGGGCUUUGGAAUGGCUGAGGGGGACAAGGAUGCACAAGGGGCCAGUGCAGAGGACAGCGCGACUCCCAGGGGCCCGGGGUCCUGGUCUUCCUGGUCCUGCCGUUUUUAUUAGAAGCGAGCCCUCCACCCCAGUGGGUGUAGAGCCCAGGACGCAGCAGAGGGUGGGGGGGCCGAACGCGGCCGCCUCCUCCUCCGAACGUGGCCGCCUCCGAACGUGGCCGCCGCCUCCUCCGAACGUGGCCGCUUCCGCAGCGCCCGGCGCAGGCCGCACUCCGCCACCAGGGGGCGCCACAGCUCCUCGCGCCGCCGCCUCCCGCAAACACAAAGAGCCGCGCGGCC
rnacentral:lncRNA from 1 species